rnacentral:lncRNA from 1 species
CGUCUGUAAACGGGGUCGAAACUGCUGUAUGAAUAAACUUCGGCCCACGUGACAUCCCUUCACGUCUAUGCUCGCUAUCCCAAGGUUCAUUGCGAUCCCAAGGUUCACUGCGGUUUUCCACAAGCCUGUUUCUGCCUAUCACCAUGAGUGAUUCCUCAAUACUCAGAUUUAUCAUCAAGAUCUCAAUUAUAAGCUCAAGUUUUGAUGACAACUUGGUGAUCUGCAGAAAGCACCACCAUGUAAGGAAGGCCAAGACCACUCUGGAAUCAGUCAAGGCUCAUAGGAACUCCAAUCUUCCCAACUGUGAGAGGGCCUUGCUCCAGUGACUGAUUGCAGUGACCAGACAUGCUACUGUAACUCUCAUGGUCAUGUGCUGGAAUUAGCAGAUAUUCAACAAUUUGGCCAUCUCGCUGACCUGUUGAUAUCAGAAGACCGCAGCAGCUCUGCAAAGCAAGUUGCAAAACAGAAUCCAUGAAACUGGCAGUGACUGGAAACCAAUUGGAAGACUUUGGUCUGUGAUGUAGAGGAGUGGGCAGAGGGUGAGGAAAUUCUUAUUAAUAUUACAUGUAGUCAUGAAAAAUUGUGUUACUAUUACUGUCUUUUUUUUUUUAGUAGCAGAAGCAAAGACAACAAAAAGAAGAAGUGAUAUGGAUGUCUUCGUCAUAUGGCAUGACUCUGCUGACCCAGCAACAAAGAGGAGGGUGUUCAACAUCAUCCUGCUAGUCAGGAUUCUUCAGGAGAAGCAGU